rnacentral:rRNA from 1 species
ACUACCGAUUGAAUGGUUUAGUGAGGCCUUCUGACUGGCGCCGAUGCUCUGGCGACAGAGCGCCGGAUGCCGGAGAGUUGGUCAAACUUGAUCAUUUAGAGGAAGUAAAAGUCGUAACAAGGUUUCCGUAGGUGAACCUGCGGAAGGAUCAUUACCGAUGUAAUCCAAACGCACGACUCCGUCGUGAUUACCGUGUGAACCGUACCAAACUAUUCAGGGGUCGGCCGGUCCGUUAAAUGGCGGUCGGACGCGUGCUUUGCGCGCGGCCGCUUCGCCAGCCCCGCCUGUGUUUUUUAACAUACGUGUCUUGUCUGAAAAGGUGGCCACUGCCGUGGUCGAGAGCAAAAAGAGAGAGACAACUUUUGACGGUGGAUCUCUUGGCUCACGCAUCGAUGAAGAACGCAGCCAGCUGCGAUAAGUAGUGUGAAUUGCAGAAUUCAGUGAAUCAUCGAAUCUUUGAACGCAAAUGGCGCUCUUGGGGUUCUCCCAGGAGCAUGUCUGUCUGAGUGUCGGAUACACACCCAGGCGCGCCCCUAAUUGGGGAGGGGCGCGGACUCGAGGCGUCACGGCGGCUUCUCGCCCGCCGUGUCCCUCCAGCCUCAGAAGCGGAGACCCUUCGCGCGGCGACGCGUCCACCCGCGCCACCGACGCCGAGGCUAAAAAUACCUUUGGCCCUCGGCGCUCGGAACGGCCGGGCCGCCACCGCCCGCCACCGGGACACUCUCCCGCACCGAGACGUCGAUGCAUCCCCGCAUGCAUCCCUCUUGACCUCAGAUCGGGCGAGGCCACCCGCUGAAUUUAAGCAUAUUAAUAAGCGGAGGAAAAGAAACUAACAAGGAUUCCCCCAGUAACGGCGAGUGAAGCGGGAUGAGCUCAAAUUUGAAAUCUCCGGUGCUUGCACCGGCGAGUUGUAGUUGCGAGAAGCACUUUCUCGGCGGAUCGGCGGCGCCUAAGUUGCUUGGAACAGCAUGUCGCAGAGGGUGACAACCCCGUCUGUGGCGCGGCCGGCCGCUCACGAUGUGCUUUCGAA